AGGGAAUUGGGAAGGGGCUGCAAUGGGCGAACAAAACCUUUCGCAUGCCUAAACUCACUAAGUCACUUGAUGAUUUCAUUUGGCUUCGUCAUGUUGAGGAACCGGGGGUGUCUUCAGAGGUUUCCGAUGCCCCCUCUUGGCCUCAACCUCGUUACCCAGAACUAUCUGGCAUAGACUUGUUUAUGGCUGAUGUCGAAGCAUUGGAGACAUAUCUUAAUUAUUUCUACUGCAUAUCUAAG
rnacentral:misc_RNA from 1 species